GGAUGCAAUCAUACCAGCACUAAAGCACCGGAUCCCAUCAGAACUCCGAAGUUAAGCGUGCUUGGGCGAGAGUAGUACUAGGAUGGGUGACCUCCUGGGAAGUCCUCGUGUUGCAUUCG
rnacentral:rRNA from 3 species